GCCGGAGUGGUGGAAUUGGUAGACACCAGGGACUUAAAAUCCCUUGGGCCAUAAGGCCCGUGUCGGUUCAAGUCCGACCUCCGGCA
rnacentral:tRNA from 1 species